UCAAGAACCUAUAACGUAAAACUUAAUGAAUAAUGAAUUUGUCAAAUAUGUUUCCUUUGUAACUCAAAACUUAUGAAUAAUGAAUUUGUCAAAUUCAUUUCCUUCGUAACUCAAAACUUUAAGUGAUGCAUUUGUUUCAAAACUAAUUGAAACAUAACUCUUAUUGAAAGAGUCAUGAAAGAGUUUUUCCGUUCAAAUCCUAAGCCCAAGAAGCUUCGUGCACUUUUUUGUUUCACAAAACAACCUUCCAUAUUUUCUCUAAUGGCUCGUCUUGAAUUCAAAUUAUUGCAAGUGCUAGUUGUAGUCAUUCCUCGUAAUUUUGAAAUUGUCACUAUCCCGGACAAAAUUGGGAACAUGAGUUGCUUGCACUAUCUGAGGUUGGAGAGGCUUUUUAUUAAAGAACUGUCAAAUAGCAUUGUCAAGCUCAAAUGUCUAGAGACACUAGAUGUUAAAAGGACCAACAUAAGAAAUAUUCCUUCGGCUGUUUGGGAGUCGAAACAAUUAAGACAUCUUCUUUACGGAUUCGAAACAGGUGAAUAUUCUGGGUUCUUUACUAAUAUAAGCCCAUUUUGCCCAAACAACAAGUCCUCACUGCCUAAUAAUCUACAAACUUUGAUGUAGCUGCCUGAUAGAUUUUUUCAACCGAGAUUGUUGCACCGAUUGACCAAUUUGAGACAAAUGGGUAUACAAGAAGUACCCGAUUCUAUCAUUAAGCUAUUAUCAAUAUCGAGCCCUGUGCCAAUUAUGCUGCCAAACACGCUGGAAGUUCUAAAGCUGUAUUUUUCCGGUCACACGAAGGAGCAAAUAAACUUGUCGUGCUAUCAAAAUGUUGUCAAGUUGCAUUUGUUUCAUCUCAGAAUGAUGCCUAACAACUCUGUAGCAUUCCCUCCAAAUCUUGUCAAGACUACUCUUGUCCACCUUAUGGUAGACAGUCAUCUGCUCUCAAUGAUUAAGAAAUUGCCCAAAUUAAAGAUACUCAAAAUGAGGCGCUGCAGAUAUGAUGAAGGGAAAAUGGAUCUCUCAGGCGAUGUGACUGGUGAUAGCUUUCCGCAACUUGAAGUCUUGCAUUUUGUGGAAGCAUCUUGGUUGACUGAAGUAACUUGCACGGAUGAUGUCAGUAUGCCUAAACUGAACAAGGUACUACUUGAAGUCUUCCCGCAGUCCGAUAUUAGGCUCUCGGAACGGCUUGCAAAGCUUAGAAUGUGAAAAUCCCAAUGUGACAUCAGGUAUGCAUUUGAGAAUGUGUAGCACCUAAAUCGAUUUUGAUUGCAAGUUGGAAGUUGGUAUAUUUGUGGCUUAUGAUUUGUAAAAGAAAUUUUGCAUGGCUAAACAACGUAAAUUCCAGAUUUUAGGUAGUUAAUUACACUCUUUUCUAGAUUUAUUAUUUAUGUUUUUCCUCUCCUGGAUUUUUAAUGUUCUUAUAUAUUAUAUUGUUGAUCGUUAGUAGACAUUACAA